rnacentral:rRNA from 1 species
UACGUAGGGCGCAAGCGUUGUCCGGAAUUAUUGGGCGUAAAGAGCGUGUAGGCGGCCCGGUAAGUCCGCUGUAAAAGUCAAAGGCUCAACCUUUGAAUGUCAGUGGAUACUGCCGGGCUAGAGUCCGGAAGAGGCGAGUGGAACUCCUGGUGUAGCGGUGGAAUGCGCAGAUAUCAGGAAGAACACCAACGGCGAAGGCAGCUCGCUGGGACGGUACUGACGCUGAGACGCGAAAGCGUGGGGAGCGAACAGG